GAUACAACUCUAGUUGGUGUUGUUGCGUUAAUAAAAAAAAGUGUAAAUACUUGAGAAAAUUAAAGAGUGGACAAAACGUAAAUGUCACCACGGGUCUCGCGCUAACAAUUAUGCCAAAUCAAAUAUGUUUUCCACUGCAUACCGGAAAAUAAACAAAUACAAGAAGCAUAAAGUAUGCAGAAAAUCAAAUACAAAAGGAGCAUUUAAGAGUUGCGUAUGAAAAGCCAAAAAAAAAAGAAGAAAAUUCUACUCAAUAGCAAAAUCCUAGAAAGCAUAGAGAAAUUACCGUUGUGCACGUCAACGACAAGAACAUAACAAUUACAAAUCUACAUCUACGUUGCAUUUAUGUACUGGUAAUAAGAGCCGCACACGAUUUUGACAAUUACAUGCACCAGUAAAUAAUUAAUAAUUAUAUACAUGCAUAUAUGCGCACACAUAUGUAAGCUGUAACCAACUACACACGUUCCUUAAAACUAAUGUUUUCCAAACGCAACUAAAUCAAACGAUUAACGGCUAAUAACAACAGCUAGAGCAACAACAGCAACGUGCAGCAACGGAAACAUCACCUCAUCAGAAGCAUAACCAUAUAGGAGAGAUAAAUUUAACAUUACAUAGAAUAUAUAAUAUAUAAAACGACACCGAUUUAAAUUAACUGCAGGGAAACAAUACGAAAAAGGAGGAUUAGAGCAGCAAAGUUUUUAUUAUAAUUUAGGGCUAGCCAACAUAUAACGAACACGCACACAAAUCUAACAAGGACUACAGUUUUGGAGCAAUCUCGAAACUAGGCUUAUUCCCAUGUCAUCUCGUCAGCAGCUGCAACAAACGUCAGUUUAAUAUGUGCUUGUGAGCUACAACAACAAUCGCCGCAUUGUACUUUGUAUUCAUCAUUGCCAGAAAGAUGCGCCAAAGUCUGAUCAACAAGUUGCUAAACUGUUAACUCCCCAAAAAGAUCCUACGCCCAAGACAAAAGCGAAUCCUUCGCAGCAAUAUAAGCAAUAGCCAAAGAGAGCCUGACCAGAAGCAGAGAGAGAGAAAGAGAGUGAACGUGCAUGUCUGUGUGUGUGUGGAGCAACGCCAAAGUACAAAUGCGCCUGAGCAACUAAAUCGAAACAUACAUAUAGGACAAGCUUAGAGAAGCAACAUUUGAGACGGGCUUAAAGCCAUUUUGGCUUCACAUUAUAUAUACAAAUCAGCUGAGGUGUUGCACUCUAUGUUUGUGGCGAGUGCAGCAUAAAUAUAAGACGACACAACUGAUUGGAAUUUGCAACACGUCACGGAUCGUAGAGCAGCGAGUGUUGCAGCACGCGUAAGCGUCCAUCAAUUCAGUUAGCAUGGAGUGCUGUCUAUCAGAGGAGGCCAAGGAACAAAAGCGGAUUAACCAGGAAAUUGAGAAACAGCUGCGACGCGACAAACGAGAUGCACGACGAGAACUCAAAUUGUUACUGCUGGGCACUGGCGAGUCUGGCAAAUCAACGUUUAUCAAACAGAUGCGCAUCAUACACGGCAGUGGCUACUCGGAUGAUGAUAAGCGUGGCUAUAUCAAACUGGUCUUUCAAAACAUAUUUAUGGCCAUGCAGUCCAUGAUCAAAGCGAUGGAUAUGCUUAAAAUCUCAUAUGGAGUUGGCGAACAUAUUGAACUUGGUGAUCUGGUGAUGAGUAUUGAUUAUGAAACAGUAACCACCUUUGAGGAUCCAUAUUUGAAUGCCAUUAAAACGCUUUGGUCUGAUGCUGGUAUACAGGAGUGCUACGAUCGCCGAAGAGAAUACCAGCUGACAGAUUCCGCCAAAUAUUAUCUGAUGGAUCUCGAUCGUGUGGCUCAACCCGAUUAUUUACCCACUGAGCAAGACAUUUUAAGAGUUCGUGUGCCGACAACGGGGAUCAUUGAGUAUCCCUUUGAUUUAGAAGAAAUCAGAUUUAGCUACCUAAAUGAAUUGGCGCGUAUUGAGCUGCCUGAUUAUUUACCCAGUGAGCAGGAUAUUUUGCGUGCCCGUACUGCGACGCAUGGCACUCUUGAGUAUCGUUUCGAGUUAGAAACAAAUAUAUAUAGAAUGGUCGAUGUUGGUGGUCAGCGUUCGGAACGAAGAAAAUGGAUUCAUUGUUUUGAGAACGUUACAUCAAUAAUAUUUUUGGUGGCGCUAUCUGAAUACGAUCAAAUUUUGUUUGAAUCUGAUAACGAGAAUCGCAUGGAAGAAUCAAAAGCUUUAUUUAGAACUAUUAUUACAUACCCGUGGUUCCAAAAUUCAUCAGUUAUUCUUUUCCUCAACAAAAAGGAUUUGUUAGAAGAGAAAAUUAUGUAUUCGCAUUUGGUGGACUAUUUUCCUGAAUACGAUGGUCCACAGCGAGAUGCAAUAGCAGCCCGCGAAUUCAUACUGCGCAUGUUUGUAGACUUAAAUCCAGAUUCCGAAAAGAUUAUCUAUUCUCAUUUCACCUGUGCUACAGCAUUUUGAAGCUUAGACUAAGAAUUUCUUACUGGGGCAGCAGCUCUGUUCUAUAAAAAUCUAAUUUCGAAACUCAGGAGCCUUUAAUUGCAUGCAUAACAAACAAACAUACAUAUGUGAUACUGAAAACAUAAGGUUUGUUUUUGCAGCUGUUAAGGACACAAUUCUGCAAUCAAAUCUAAAGGAAUACAA